rnacentral:rRNA from 1 species
GAUGAACGCUGGCGGCGUGCCUAAUACAUGCAAGUCGAGCGAACGGACGAGAAGCUUGCUUCUCUGAUGUUAGCGGCGGACGGGUGAGUAACACGUGGAUAACCUACCUAUAAGACUGGGAUAACUUCGGGAAACCGGAGCUAAUACCGGAUAAUAUUUUGAACCGCAUGGUUCAAAAGUGAAAGACGGUCUUGCUGUCACUUAUAGAUGGAUCCGCGCUGCAUUAGCUAGUUGGUAAGGUAACGGCUUACCAAGGCAACGAUGCAUAGCCGACCUGAGAGGGUGAUCGGCCACACUGGAACUGAGACACGGUCCAGACACCUACGGGAGGAAGCAGUAGGGAAUAUUCCGCAAUGGGCGAAAGCCUGACGGAGCAACGCAGCGGGAGUGAUGAAGGUCUUCGGAUCGUAAAACUCUGUUAUUAGGGAAGAACAUAUGUGUAAGUAACUGUGCACAUCUUGACGGUAACUAAUCAGAAAGCAACGGCUAACUACGUG